rnacentral:tRNA from 1 species
GAGGGUAUAGCUCAGUGGUAGAGCACGUUCUAGCAUGAACGAGGUCCUGGGUUCAAUCCCCAGUACUUCCA